rnacentral:piRNA from 1 species
UCCAAUAAUGCACGACAAUGG